rnacentral:lncRNA from 1 species
AAAAACUAAUAUGGACUAUUCCAACAAUAAAUCAAGCCCACAUUAUUUUUCUUAUUUUAACUCCUUUCUCCAUUUUUAUCUUUUCCCAGGCCCUAAUUUCUCUCCAUUUCGAUUGAGCUAAAUUCUUCAUCAAAAAGUAAAAAUCAGAGCUUUUUUUUUCAAUUUGAAAGAACUCGAUCCACCUUAGUCAAAUUUUUAACGUAAUCUUUCAUGCUACUUCUCUUAAUUUAUGUUCGAAUAAUGUUUCCAAAAUAUCAAAAGUGUUGACUGGUGCCUAUGUGGUCGUCCGUGUGAACUGAAAAUUUCAUGGAGUGCUGCUAACCCAGGAAGAAGGUACCUAACAUGCAAGAUUGGAAAAGUAAGUGUAUUCCAUAAUUCAAUCUACCAGUACUCGUUGAAGUGAAAUCCGCUUCAGCAUCAUCAACAGACGCAGAAUAAAUGAAAAAAUGGGAUUUGUGGACUCGCCUCAGGAUGGAGGGGAAGCUACUGUGGAAGAAGGCAGUUGUUGAGCAAGUGACAUUGGUUGAAGUUCAAUAUGAAUAUGCAUCAUCAACUGGAGAAGAAAGAUGAAGAUUCCGCUGAAGAUGUCGAAGAUUUAGAAGAAAGAUACGAUCGAAUAUGAUUAAGACGAAUAUGUCGAGUUAGAGCACGGAUUGAAAUUGUUAUGAGCAAGGGACAUUGGUUGAAGUUCAAUAUGAAAAAUUCAAUUUUAUUUGCCAUUGAUUUAAAUCAGUUAAUUUGUCUUUUGUUUGUUUAAAGGACAAUGAGAGAUGUAAAUAUUUUAGAUGGUUUGAGGACGAAUUUUCUGAGCAAGCGAAUAGAGUUAUAUGGGGUUUGUUGAAGAGAGUGAAAGACAUUUGAUCAAGAAAGAUAUCAAGCAAAAAAAUGGAGGAAUGCAAUAAUAUUUCUUGUUGUACUUGUGGCCUUAAUCAUAUGGCUUUGUUCAGGUUCUUGCUCUUGUUGAUGGACUGAACCAAGUUUAUGGGAAAAUCGUUUGUAAUUUUGGCUAGUUAAUAUAAUUAGUGUUGGGAAUGGCUGCUCUACUUUUGUUCAUUGAUGUUGUACUUGGGAUGGUAGGGGUCCUAUUUUGUGUAACCGAUAUUCCCUUAUCAAUUCAAUGUAUUUUUGUUUUUGUUAAAAAAAAUUACAAUUAUUUAGUCUUUACUG